rnacentral:rRNA from 1 species
GAUCAGCCGUACUCCGAAUGNCUCUAGAUUAAAGUUUGAUCAUGGCUCAGACCGAGCGCGUUAAGCGGCAGGCCUAACACAUGCAAGUCGAACGGUAACAGGAAGCAGCUUGCUGCUUUGCUGACGAGUGGCGGACGGUGAGUAAUGUCUAGGGAAACUGCCUAGAUGGAGGGGGAUAACUACUGGAAACGGUAGCUAAUACCGCAUAACGUCGCAAGACCAAAGAGGGGGACCUUCGGGCCUCUUGCCAUCGGAUAGUAGCCCAGAUAGGGAUUAGCUAGUAGGUGGGGUAACGGCUACACCUAGGCGACGAUCCCUAGCUAGGUACUGAGAGGAUGACCAGCCACACUAGGAACUGAGACACGGUCCAGACUCCUACGGGAGGCAGCAGUAGGGGAAUAUUGCACAAUAGAGGCGCAAGCCUAGAUAGCAGCCAUAGCCGCGUAGUAUAGAAGAAGGCCUNUCGGGUAGUGAAGUACUUUCAGGCGGGGGAGNGCAAGGUGUAAGAGGUUAAUAACCUUCAGGCAAUUAGACCGUAAA